AUGGAGAGGCCAGAUUCUGAAUUCAAGGAAAAGUUGAUGCGUCUUCUCCGCAAACCAUUUAGCCAGGGAGAAUGUGAUACGCUGCUUGACAAGGCUACGACUCGCCCUCCGGCAACAAUGAAAAGGCAAACACGCGGUGGCGUGAAGUACUACAACUCUGAACAUGAAAGGCAACCAUCAUAUUUUGAUGGUCACCCAGAUCUUGCGAAACAAGUACGUGUAGAAAGCGCCAGCAAACCCAACCAGUUAGCUCUGUUGCGUGGAUUUUUCUUCUGGAUGGAGCAAAGUACUAACAGCUACGGUGCAUCAGUGUGA
rnacentral:rRNA from 1 species